AUGUCCAACCGAGUGGUCCGCUGGGAAGCCAGCCACUCUGGGAACUGGUACACAGCCUCAGGACCACAGCUGAAUGCACAGCUAGAAGGUUGGCUUUCACAAGUAAAGUCUACAAAAAGACCUGCUAGAGCCAUUAUUGCACCCCAUGCAGGAUAUACGUACUGUGGGUCUUGUGCCACCCAUGCUUAUAAACAAGUGGAUCCGUCUAUUACCCAGGGAAUUUUCAUCCUUGGGCCUUCUCAUCAUGUGUCCCUCUCUCAGUGUGCACUUUCCAGUGUGGAUAUAUAUAGGACACCUCUGCAUGACCUUCGUAUUGACCAAAAGAUUUACAGAGAACUGUGGAAGACAGGAAUGUUUGAACGCAUGUCUCUGCAGACAAAGAUGAACACGGUAUUGAAAUGCAUUUGCCUUGUACAGCUAAAGCCAUGGAAAUCCAUAAGGAUGAGUUUACCAUUAUUCCUGUACUGGUUGGAGCUCUGAGUGAGUCAAAAGAACAGGAAUUCGGAAAACUCUUCAGUAAAUAUCUAGCAGAUCCUAGUAAUUUCUUUGUGGUUUCUUCUGAUUUUUGCCAUUGGGGUCAAAGAUUCCGUUACAGUUACUAUGAUGAAUCCCAGGGGGAGACUUAUAGAUCCAUUGAACAUCUAGAUAAAAUGGGUAUGAGUAUUAUAGAACAAUUAGACCCUGUAUCUUUUAGCAAUUACUUGAGGAAACACCAUAAUACUAUAUGUGGAAGACAUCCCUUUAGGGUGUUAAAUGCUAUCACAGAGCUCCAGAAGAAUGGAAGAAUAUGAGCUUUUCCUUUUUGAAUUAUGCCCAGUCAAGCCAGUGUAGAAACUGGCAAGACAGUUCAGUGAGUUACACAACUGGAGCGCUCACGGUCCGCUGA
rnacentral:lncRNA from 1 species